rnacentral:tRNA from 1 species
GGCUCGGUAGCUUAGUUGGUGAAGAGCUCGUCUAGUAUAGAAGAAUCCUGGGUUCGAAUCCCAGCCGAGCUC